rnacentral:rRNA from 1 species
UACGGGAGGCAGCAGUGGGGAAUAUUGGACAAUGGGCGAAAGCCUGAUCCAGCCAUGCCGCGUGUGUGAAGAAGGCCUUUUGGUUGUAAAGCACUUUAAGCGAGGAGGAGGCUACUUGGAUUAAUACUCUAGGAUAGUGGACGUUACUCGCAGAAUAAGCACCGGCUAACUCUGUGCCAGCAGCCGCGGUAAUACAGAGGGUGCGAGCGUUAAUCGGAUUUUACUGGGCGUAAAGCGUGCGUAGGCGGCUUUUUUAAGUCGGAUGUGAAAUCCCUGAGCUUAACUUAGGAAUUGCAUUCGAUACUGGGAAGCUAGAGUAUGGGAGAGGAUGGUAGAAUUCCAGGUGUAGCGGUGAAAUGCGUAGAGAUCUGGAGGAAUACCGAUGGCGAAGGCAGCCAUCUGGCCUAAUACUGACGCUGAGGUACGAAAGCAUGGGGAGCAAACAGGAAUUAAGAAUAACC